rnacentral:rRNA from 1 species
GACGUAGGUGGCGAACGUUAUCCGGAAUUACUGGGCGUAAAGGGCUCGUAGGCGGCCAACUAAGUCAGACGUGAAAUCCCUCGGCUUAACCGGGGAACUGCGUCUGAUACUGGGUGGCUUGAAUCCGGGAGAGGGAUGCGGAAUUCCAGGUGUAGCGGUGAAAUGCGUAGAUAUCUGGAGGAACACCGGUGGCGAAGGCGGCAUCCUGGACCGGUAUUGACGCUGAGGAGCGAAAGCCAGGGGAGCAAACGGG